UUUAUUUUUCCCCUAGACUGGCCCAGAUAGCAGCAGCACAGGAAGGAGCAGCCGAGGAGGAAGGAGAUGAGAGGCGAGUGUCAGGAUCACCUCACUGUCAGCUCAGCCAUGGCCUGAGAAAGAGAAGGAGUAAGGGGGCAUCAAGGGAAAGGAACACACAGUGGGCACCAGAGCAACAUUAAGAGGCAUUUCAAGGAAAUUCUGGAGGAGGCAGUGAGGUUUCUGCACUGUGGGCAGCAGGCGUGUCUGGGGAAGGCAACGGGGAGCAGGACCAAGGCGAGAGGAGAGUGAGCGCUGCAGGACAUCAGCUCCGCACAGACAGGAGCGCAGGAAAACUUUUCUUGUGCUGCUUUCUCUGUUCUGCCAUCGCUGCUCCACUGAAAAGCACAGAGAAAAGCAUCACCAGCACUUUGUUUCCAGGCAGUGCCUGUUAUCAGCUGCCGCCACAUUUGACUGGGAAGUCUGUGCGAUCAGGAAACAAUCAGGAGCUCAGGGCUUUCCAUGCCUCAGAUAGCACUGUUUGUGCGCUGAAAUCCUCGGCCUGCGAGGCACGGAGGAGAAUGGCACGCGGUGACGUGAAUAACCUUUGGCCGGGACCGCUCAGUCCCAGCCUGCUGGGGCGUUACGGAGCCGCACCCCAGCGCGAUGCGAGCGCUUCAGCCCGCCAUCUCGCUGCAGAUACGGCCCUGCUUACUGGAAGGAGCGUUGCGUCCUGCUGAUAAGGCUGCUACCUUUGCACUCCUGAGCCAAAACGGAGCAAUUUGCGCUCCUUCAACCACACCUGGAAGCGAGCGGGUGCUGGAAUUUUAUUGCUGAUGUUGCCAGUGCGCUGGAAAGGGUACAACGUCCACGUCUGCUGCUGCCCUGGCUUUGUGCGUGCAAGCCCCAGCUCGAUGGAAGGAAGCAGCUCUUUGCAGUUAAGCUUUAAUAACGCGAGGCUGGUUUCAAGUUUGCACGCUACCAUGGUCUCAGCAUGCCGUCCCGCAUCGCGGCCCUCACGCUGUCCCACAGCGGGUGCCCGGGGUUGAGCAUGAGGACGGGGCAGCGGGCAGUGACGUUUCCCCGCCUCUGGUGACUCAUGGCUCAGGCACUUACAGAGCCAACAAUGCGCCUUUGUACUCGUGGAUCUCAACGGAUUUCUCUUUCAUGGUCUUGUCUCAUUGGGUUUUCAGCCCGUGUAAAGCCCACAAAUCCUGAAAUAAUGAAUCCCACGGUUUAUCUGCACCUGGCACAAAGGAAACGUCUCCCUUUGUGGGGACUGAACCUGACAUCUGGUGGUUUUGCUGUGUGCCCUCCUGCCUUUACAGAAAAAAAUCCAGCCAUUAUUCAGUUCCUCCCCUGCCAGCCGGGAUUGUAGGGCCUUCUAUCAUAGUUCCCAUCAACUGCUUUUUUUCUAGGCCAAGUCAGUGAAACAGCGUGAAGGACUGGAAAGUGAAACUUGGCCGAGUACUGAAUGCUCUGGAGCUGAUCCCCCAUCGCUGCAUUUACACCCUGGAUUCCGCCGGAGCAGCAGCUGAGCGCUCUUACUAAGAGGCUCCUGGGAAUCCCAUUCAGCUCUCGUAUUCUGGCACAAAAACAAACGCUCGAUUACAAAACCCAGGUGUGACAGUGGCCAGGGACAGGACCGGGAGCGCGUGAUGGCAGAGUGCCACCGCGCAGCACGAGCUCACAGCGUCCCAGCAGCACAGCUGGCGUGGCUGUGCAGCCAGCAGCGGUACACGGUGUGUAUGACACGUCAGUGCCAGGCCCACACCCAGCAGCCAGCACUGAUAGGAUGCACAGGGACAAGCCCAAGUGCAGCCGGGUGCUGAGGGAGCCGGGCCCAGCAGGACUCAGACACGCGUGAUUUCUCCUUCCUCGCCCUUUGUUAUGGGGCAGUGUGAAAAUCCGCCUGCACGGCCCUGGGUUUGUCCCCACGUCACCUGCGCGAGGAGAGCGGGAAGAAGGUGUGCUGAAUGUCAUCACUCUGUCCCCACGCAGGAUCUGCCUCCCCCCUCGAUGUCCCUCAUUUAAAGCACUGACAGCUUUUGCUUUUCUCCCCCUGCUGACCCCCAGCACACCCCCACAGCUCUGCUCUUCAGUUUCCCGUGUUUCCCUCUCUGCUGUCUCUGAGAAGUGCCUGGUGCCGGCCCCUCCCUCACUGCUGGCACAGCAAGCGCUUGUGCCAAGUGCCAUUUCCUGGGCUUACGAACUCGGCCAGAGAACAACAAAAGAAAAAAAAAAAAAAAAAAGGAGAAAACCUGCUUUCCCAGAAAUGUCUCUUUUUAUUAAAUCACAUCUUAAAACCUAGAAACAUUCACGUCAUUGAAACCUGCUUAUCAUACACAAAGCAGCAGAUAGGCUCAGAGAAACGCUACGGGCGGCAGCGGGCUCCUGCACGGCACAGGGCUGCCCCCAGCACAGAGCCAGCCCGGCCCGGCCGUGCUGAACAGCUUCCUCCCACCUCCCCCAGGAGCAGCCUGCUGGUGUGGGGCCUGCUGAGCUCAGAAGCGCAAGCUCCGUUUUCCACACUCUCCCUUUACACAGCUUUUGCUCCCAGCCAGCACAGCCCUCCGUCCCGGAGGCUCUUUUGGGGCUGACGUCUCCAACUCCUCCAACUCCAACCAGCUGAGCAAAGGAGCUGGAAAUGAGAACUGCUGUCUGAA